GAUGAACGCUGGCGGCGUGCCUAACACAUGCAAGUCGAGCGAAGCGCUUAAAUUAGAUUUCUUCGGAAUGACGAUUUUUGUGACUGAGCGGCGGACGGGUGAGUAACGCGUGGGUAACCUGCCUCAUACAGGGGGAUAACAGUUAGAAAUGACUGCUAAUACCGCAUAAGACCCCAGCUUCGCAUGAAGCGGUGGUAAAAACUCCGGUGGUAUGAGAUGGACCCGCGUCUGAUUAGCUAGUUGGUAAGGUAACGGCUUACCAAGGCGACGAUCAGUAGCCGACCUGAGAGGGUGACCGGCCACAUUGGGACUGGGACACGGCCCAGCCUCCUACGGGAGGCAGCAGUGGGGAAUAUUGCACAAUGGGGGAAACCCUGAUGCAGCGACGCCGCGUGAAGGAUGAAGUAUUUCGGUAUGUAAACUUCUAUCAGCAGGGAAGAAAGUGACGGUACCUGACUAAGAAGCCCCGGCUAACUCCG
rnacentral:rRNA from 1 species